rnacentral:piRNA from 1 species
UGGAUAGGCUUAACACCCAGUCCUGUGC